rnacentral:snRNA from 1 species
GUGCUUGAUUCAGCAGCACACAUACAAAAAUUGGAACAAUACAGAGAAGAUUAGCAUGGUCCCUGCUCAAGAAUUACUUGCAAAUUUGUGAAGUGUGCCAUAAUUUU